UUGACCAAAAUAAGGCCGGGCCCAGUUAAGGUCCAAUCUGCCAGGCACCCUCCCUCCCCGCGGCCGGCGCCGCCGCCGCCGCCGCCGCGCCAUGCCCGCCGGUGCUCCCCGACUCCGGUCGCCGAAUCGAGCCCGCUCUCCCGCCCGGCCUGAUCCCUCGCGCUCACCGUAGAAUCAUUUCCGCGCCAAUGCGCGAUCUUCUGUUCCUGCCUGCCGCUCUAGGAUAACCGUCUCCACUUCCAUUUGGGAAACCCUAGAAGUUUAUGCGGAUACGGCCGACGGCCUCGGAUGAUCCAGUGAUCUGCUGUCCAGAGGUAUGCUGCAUUCAGUUAUUGCUGUUGAUUGAUCUGGCUUAAGCUUGGGCUAUAAGAAAUCAUCAGACCAUGGCCGGAGAUAGUGACAGCUAUCAUUGUGUCACAGGUCUUGGUUGGUUUGCGACCUAACUGAAGUAGAGCUAGAAAAACCUUGAUAGGACAAUCUGAUCAUAUAACACCCCUACAGCAAAGAAUGCACCAAAGGAAAUCAUAAAGACAAAUGAUGAUACAACCUUGUCAGCAUUUUGUUUUGUGGAGACAAAUGGUGUUUGUGCUAAACCACAAUGGCGUGCAAGCAUAGGACCACACAACUUUGGGUUCCCAUCAAAGCUAGUACUUGGGAAUGUGCUAAGCUGUCCUGCAUUUGGAACUGGCCCUUCAAGGUCAUUGUUAGAAAUGUUGAAUGCUGAAAGGAAGUGAAGUUUGUUCAGCCCAUCAGGAAUUGUACCAGUGAGAUUAUUGCUGGACAAAUCAAGCACCUGUAGGUUUGUGAGCUUGUAGAUUGAUUCUGGUAUCUCUCCAGACAAUCUGUUGGAACUCAAAUUGAGUAACUGGAGUGCCUUCAACUGACCAAUCUCAUUCGGGAUGAUGCCAGUGAAAUUAUUGAUGCCUAGAUUCAGCACUUUAGGGAAUGCACUGUUUAUUCGGUAUUGAAGUGCAUAACCUGUACAGAUAGGCAGCUCAAAGACCUUUGGUGGAACAUUAUCUGAUUUUAGCAUUGGCAUCUCAACUAAGGCUGAUGGAAUUUCCCCUGAAAGGCUGUUGUUUGAAAUGUCUAUAUGGAACAAGAAGUUUAGGCUGCUGAUCCAGUCAGGUAUUGCUCCGUUUAGUUGAUUGUUAUAUAAAGAUAGCAUCUCCAGAUUUGUGAGCUUUGAUAACCAUUUAGGUAUUUUUCCAGACAAUGAACAAUCGUUCAGGGAAAAAAUCCGAAGAUUCUCAAAACCAUAAAUCUCGUCAUCCUCUGGCAUGGUCUCUUGCAUGAAGUUGUACCCAAUAAGCAAGGUGGUCAGGUUCCUGCAGCUCUGAAGUAUCUGAAGUGAACCUGUGAUAUUUGUAAGAGAGAUGUCAACAAGUGAUACAAAUGAGAGGCACUUCAGAUUGCGGAUUUUCUCCGAGAGCUGGCCAUGGAAGCUAUUGUUAGACAGCUGCAAUGCACUUAGAUUUCUGCAUGAGUAGAUGCUUUCUGGCACUGUUCCGGUGAAAUUGUUCGACAUAAGAUCUAAGGACUGUAAAUUGCGUAAUGUGGAGAAGUUGACAUUGCCAAGAUCUCCUGAAAAGUUGUUGCCCCCGAGGUUCAUGUUCUUAAGAUUUCUGCAAUUUCCUACAGUUGAUGGCAACUCCCCGGACAUGCUGUUGUAUGCCAAAUGGAGCUUCUCCAGUCUCUUAAGCUGACCUAUCGAAUUUGGGAUACUUCCACUAAGCCUGUUUUGUCCAAGAUCAAUGGUCACUAGAUUUUUAAGCUUGGUGAUGCCUUUGAUUGAUCCUUCUAACUGGUUUCUAAGAAAACAGAGGUGCUUCAAAGAGGUCAGAUCAAAUAGCUCGUCUGGAAGAGUCCCGGUGAGGUUGUUGUAGCUAGCGCUCAGAAGUGUCAGCUUGGAGCAAUUGCUGAGCCCCGCAGGGAUUCUUCCACUGAAUUGGUUAUAGCUGAGUUCAAGCACAGCAAAAGAUGGCGCGCUGGCACAGAACGAGGUUGGCAUCUGCCCAGUAAAUCUGUUGUUGCUGGCAUUAAGCACAACCAGAUUGUUCAUCCUCUCCCAUGUGGUUGAUGGAAAAUUCCCUGUAAACAAGUUGCUCGAGAUGUUCAAUACCUGCAGCGGCCGGUCAGGGGUUGAAGAUGGCAGCUCACUCAGUCCUCCUGUUAAGUAGUUAAAACUGACAUCAAGGACCACAAUGCUGCUGGAUGACACCAGUUCCAGCGGUAAGCCACCGGACAACGAGUUGCGGGACAAGUUCAGCCUCAGUAAACCGGUGAGGUCGCCGAGGGAUGGUGAGAUGCUCCCUUCAAGGCCUCUUGAUGCCAGAGAGAUCACCUCGACCACCGCUCCGUUUCCGCUGCAGGUGAUGCCUUCCCAGGUGCAGCAGUCUGUGCCGUUUUGCCAUGACACACCAAGGCCGCCAUCGUUCGAUAGCCCGGAGAGGAACUGGAGGAGAGAUUCCCUCUCCUGCUCGGUGCAUGAACCGGCAUGACAGACGAAGCAAAGCAGGAGUAGCAGCAGAGCUUGGCCGAAGGGAGGCAUGCAGAAUCUGCUAUUAUCUCGGUUGCUGCUUGAAGAGAGCUGUCUUGGCAUUGGCUUCAUUAUUGCUAUUUUUCUUGAAAACUAUCACUGGUUUGUGGGUUUGAUUUUGCAGGAUAGGCAGGUUAGUGUGCAAGUGCAAAACAGCAAAAGAAUAAAGUUCUUGAGCAAAUAUAUUGCCGAAUCUUUCAGUCAAAAAAAUAUAUAUUGCCGAAUCUUUCCGUCAAAAAAUAUAUGUUGCCGAAUCAGACACGAAGGACAGUAACUCAAGUAGAUGAGGAUAAAGAUGAAGAUUAAGUGAUUUACGUAAAACAAGGUGGUAUUAAUGUAUAAUUAAUUGAGUUUGAAAAAUUUAUCUGAUAUUUUAGAGUAACUUACAUAUAGAAAGUUUUUGUACGAAA